rnacentral:rRNA from 1 species
UACGUAGGGUGCGAGCGUUGUCCGGAAUUAUUGGGCGUAAAGAGCUCGUAGGCGGUGUGUCACGUCGGCCGUGAAAACCUGCAGCUUAACUGUGGGCGUGCGGUCGAUACGGGCAUCACUGGAGUUCGGCAGGGGAGACUGGAAUUCCUGGUGUAGCGGUGAAAUGCGCAGAUAUCAGGAGGAACACCGGUGGCGAAGGCGGGUCUCUGGGCCGAUACUGACGCUGAUGCGCGAAAGCGUGGGGAGCAAACGGG